GGGUGGGAUGAGUAUUCUAAGGCGCGUGGAAGAACUCUCUUUAAGGAACUCUGCAAAAUAGCACCGUAUCUUCGGUAUAAGGUGUGGUUAGCUUUGUAUUAGGAUUUACUCCGAAAGCAAGGAAACUUACAACAAAGAGUCCCACCCGACUGUUUACCAAAAACACAGCACUCUGCUAACUCGCAAGAGGAUGUAUAGGGGGUGACGCCUGCCCGGUGCUCGAAGGUUAAUUGAUGGGGUUAGCAUUAGCGAAGCUCUUGAUCGAAGCCCGAGUAAACGGCGGCCGUAACUAUAACGGUCCUAAGGUAGCGAAAUUCCUUGGCGGUUAAAUACCGACCUGCAUGUAUAGCGUAACGAGAUGGGGCAUGUCUCAAAGAGGGAUCCAGUGAAAUUGUAGUGGAGGUGAAAAUUCCUCCUACCCGCGGCAAGACGGAAAGACCCCGUGGACCUUUACUACAGCUUGACACUGCUACUUGGAUAAGAAUGUGCAGGAUAGGUGGGAGGCUUUGAGUAUAUGACGCCAGUUGUAUAUGAGCCAUUGUUGAGAUACCACUCUUUCUUAUUUGGGUAGCUAACCAGCUUGAGUUAUCCUCAAGUGGGACAAUGUCUGGUGGGUAGUUUGACUGGGGCGGUCGCCUCCCAAAUAAUAACGGAGGCUUACAAAGGUUGGCUCAGAACGGUUGGAAAUCGUUCGUAGAGUAUAAAGGUAUAAGCCAGCUUAACUGCAAGACAUACAAGUCAAGCAGAGACGAAAGUCGGUCUUAGUGAUCCGGUGGUUCUGUGUGGAAGGGCCAUCGCUCAAAGGAUAAAAGGUACCCCGGGGAUAACAGGCUGAUCUCCCCCAAGAGCUCACAUCGACGGGGAGGUUUGGCACCUCGAUGUCGGCUCAUCGCAUCCUGGGGCUGGGGCAGGUCCCAAGGGUAUGGCUGUUCGCCAUUUAAAGCGGUACGCGAGCUGGGUUCAGAACGUCGUGAGACAGUUCGGUCCCUAUCUGCCGUGGGCGUAAGAAGAUUGAAGAGAUUUGACCCUAGUAC
rnacentral:rRNA from 1 species